rnacentral:rRNA from 1 species
CGGGGUGGAGUAAUGUCUGGGAAACUGCCUGAUGAGGGGGAGUAACUACUGGAAACGGUAGCUAAUACCGCAUAAUGUCGCAAGACCAAAGAGGGGGACCUUCGGGCCUCUUGCCAUCGGAUGUGCCCAGAUGGGAUUAGCUAGUAGGUGGGGUAACGGCUCACCUAGGCGACGAUCCCUAGCUGGUCUGAGAGGAUGACCAGCCACACUGGAACUGAGACACGGUCCAG